rnacentral:rRNA from 1 species
GAUUUCUGGACUGAAGCAUUUAGCCGGCCGCGGUUUCGCGUGUUAGUGCUGGAUGCUCUGUCCAUCCUUCCAAUCGCUAUUGGCUAUUCUUCAUUGAAUGGUCAGUAGUAUUGGAUCUUUUACUUUGAAAAAAUUAGAGUGUUUCAAGCAGGCUUUAUGCUAUGAAUACAUUAGCAUGGAAUAAUAAUUUAGGACUUUGCUCCUAUUUUAUUGGUUUCUAGGGGUAAAGUAAUGAUUGAUAGGGAUAGUUGGGGGUGCUAGUAUUCAUCGGCCAGAGGUGAAAUUCUUGGAUUCGAUGAAGACUAACUUAUGCGAAAGCAUU